rnacentral:rRNA from 1 species
UUGACCUCUGAUCAGGUAGGAUACCCGCUGAACUUAAGCAUAU